rnacentral:rRNA from 1 species
CCUUAUGGCCAUACCACCCUGAGCACACCUGAUUUCAUCUGAUCUUUAAAGCUCCGCAGGUUCGGGCUUGUUUAUUACCUGGAUGGAAGACUACCUGGGAGUAACUGGUGCUGUAAGCC